UACGUAGGGGGCAAGCGUUGUCCGGAAUCAUUGGGCGUAAAGAGCGUGUAGGCGGCCAGAAAAGUCCGCUGUGAAAACUCGAAGCUCAACUUCGAGCUGUCGGUGGAAACUUUCUGGCUAGAGUCCGGAAGAGGAGAAUGGAAUUCCUGGUGUAGCGGUGAAAUGCGCAGAUAUCAGGAAGAACACCCGUGGCGAAGGCGGUUCUCUGGGACGGUACUGACGCUGAGACGCGAAAGCGUGGGGAGCAAACAGG
rnacentral:rRNA from 1 species